AUUGAACGCUGGCGGCAGGCCUAACACAUGCAAGUCGAACGAGUGGCGGACGGGUGAGUAAUGUAUGGGAAACUGCCCGAUGGCGGGGGAUAACUACUGGAAACGGUAGCUAAUACCGCAUACCAUCGGAUGUGCCCAUAUGGGAUUAGCUAGUAGGUGGGGUAACGGCUCACCUAGGCGACGAUCCCUAGCUGGUCUGAGAGGAUGACCAGCCACACUGGAACUGAGACACGGUCCAGACUCCUACGGGAGGCAGCAGUGGGGAAUAUUGCACAAUGGGCGCAAGCCUGAUGCAGCCAUGCCGCGUGUAUGAAGAAGGCCUUCGGGUUGUAAAGUACUUUCAGCGGGGAGGCGUUACUCGCAGAAGAAGCACCGGCUAACUCCGUGCCAGCAGCCGCGGUAAUUC
rnacentral:rRNA from 1 species